GAGCUUGCUCCUUCGACGUUAGCGGCGGACGGGUGAGUAACACGUGGGCAACCUACCUUAUAGUUUGGGAUAACUCCGGGAAACCGGGGCUAAUACCGAAUAAUCUGUUUCACCUCAUGGUGAAACACUGAAAGACGGUUUCGGCUGUCGCUAUAGGAUGGGCCCGCGGCGCAUUAGCUAGUUGGUGAGGUAACGGCUCACCAAGGCGACGAUGCGUAGCCGACCUGAGAGGGUGAUCGGCCACACUGGGACUGAGACACGGCCCAGACUCCUACGGGAGGCAGCAGUAGGGAAUCUUCCACAAUGGGCGAAAGCCUGAUGGAGCAACGCCGCGUGAGUGAAGAAGGAUUUCGGUUCGUAAAACUCUGUUGUAAGGGAAGAACAAGUACAGUAGUAACUGGCUGUACCUUGACGGUACCUUAUUAGAAAGCCACGGCUAACUACGUGCCAGCAGCCGCGGUAAUACGUAGGUGGCAAGCGUUGUCCGGAAUUAUUGGGCGUAAAGCGCGCGCAGGUGGUUUCUUAAGUCUGAUGUGAAAGCCCACGGCUCAACCGUGGAGGGUCAUUGGAAACUGGGAGACUUGAGUGCAGAAGAGGAUAGUGGAAUUCCAAGUGUAGCGGUGAAAUGCGUAGAGAUUUGGAGGAACACCAGUGGCGAAGGCGACUAUCUGGUCUGUAACUGACACUG
rnacentral:rRNA from 1 species